AUUGGAGGGCAAGUCUGGUGCCAGCAGCCGCGGUAAUUCCAGCUCCAAUAGCGUAUAUUAAAGUUGUUGCAGUUAAAAAGCUCGUAGUUGAACUUUGGGCUUGGUUGGCCGGUCCGCCUUUUUGGCGAGUACUGGACCCAACCGAGCCUUUCCUUCUGGCUAACCAUUCGCCCUUGUGGUGUUUGGCGAACCAGGACUUUUACUUUGAAAAAAUUAGAGUGUUCAAAGCAGGCCUUUGCUCGAAUAUAUUAGCAUGGAAUAAUAGAAUAGGACGUUAUGGUUCUAUUUUGUUGGUUUCUAGGACCAUCGUAAUGAUUAAUAGGGACGGUCGGGGGCAUCAGUAUUCAGUUGUCAGAGGUGAAAUUCUUAGAUUUACUGAAGACUAACUACUGCGAAAGCAUUUGCCAAGGACGUUUUCAUUAAUCAAGAACGAAAGUUAGGGGAUCGAAGAUGAUCAGAUACCGUCGUAGUCUUAACCAUAAACUAUGCCGACUAGGGAUCGG
rnacentral:rRNA from 1 species